AACGAACGCUGGCGGCAUGCCUAACACAUGCAAGUCGAACGAAACCUUCGGGUCUAGUGGCGCACGGGUGCGUAACGCGUGGGAAUCUACCCUCAGGUUCGGAAUCACUCAGAGAAAUUUGAGCUAAUACCGGAUGAUGACGUAAGUCCAAAGAUUUAUCGCCUGAGGAUGAGCCCGGGUAGGAUUAGGUAGUUGGUGAGGUAAAGGCUCACCAAGCCGACGAUCCUUAGCUGGUCUGGGAGGAUGAUCCGCCACACUGGGACUGCGGCACGGCCCAGAACCCUACGGGGAGGUGGAGGAGGGAAUAAUGGGAAAGGGGGCGAAAUCCGGAACCGCCACGUCCGGGGGGGUGAGCAGGGCGUUGGGGUCGAAAUCCCCUUUUGCCGGGGAGAUAAUGACGGUAACGGGUAAAUAAGCUCCGGCUAACUCCGUG
rnacentral:rRNA from 1 species